GAUGAACGCUGGCGGCGUGCCUAAUACAUGCAAGUCGAGCGAACAGAUGAGGAUUUUGCUCCUCUGACGUGAGCAGCGGACGGGUGAGUAACACGUGUAUAACCGACCUAUAAGACUGGGAUCACUUCGCGAAACCGGAUCUAAUACCCGAUAAUAUAUUGAACCGCAUGGUUCAUUAGUGAAAGACGGUUUUGCUGUGACUUAUAGAGGGUUCCGCGCGGCAUUAGCUAGUUGGUAGGGUAACGGCUUUCCAAGGCUACAAUGCGUAGCCGACCUGGGAGGGGGACCGUCACCACUGAAGUUGAGCACCGGCCCAGCUCCUUAGGGGAGGCACAGGUGGGGAAUCUUGACAAAUGGGGGAAAGCUUGACCAAGCAACGCCGGUGGGGUGAUGAAGGCCUUCGGAUCGUAAGACUCUGUUAUUGGGGAAGAACACAUGUGUAUGUAACUAUGCACGUCUGAAGGGUACCUCAGAAGAAGCACCGGCUUACCUCGGU
rnacentral:rRNA from 1 species